UACGGCUCAGUAACACGUAGACAAUCUACCUUAGGGAGGAAGAUAACCUCGGGAAACUGAGGACAAUACUCCAUAGGCCGCAAGCACUGGAAUGACUGCGGUCUAAAGGCUAAAACUAAUGCUGUUGACGCGCCCUAAGACGAGUCUGCGGCGGAUUAGGUAGACGGCGGGGUAACGGCCCACCGUGCCUUUGAUCCGUACCGGCCCUGAGAGGGGGAGCCGGGAGAUGGACACUGAGACAAAGGUCCAGGCUCUAAGGAGCGCAGCAGUCGCGAAAACUUCGCAAUACGCGCAAGCGUGACGAGGGAACCCCAAGUGUACUAGUACAACUAGUACUUUUACGGAGUGUAAAAAGCUCCGGGAAUAAGGUCUGGGUAAGACUGGUGCCAGCCUCCGCGGUAACACCAGCAGAUCAAGUGGUAACCGCGUUUACUGGGCUUGAAGCGUCCGUAGUCGGUCAUGCAAGUCUCCUGUGAAAUCCUGCGGCUCAACCGUAGGGCUUGCAGGAGAUACUACAAGACUAGAGGCCGGGAGAGGAUGGGGGUAUUCUGGGGGUAGCGGUGAAAUGCUAUAAUCCCUGGAGGACCACCGGUAGCGAAGGCGCCCAUCUGGAACGGGCCUGACGAUGAGGGACGAGAGCUAGGGGAGCAAACCGGAUUAGAUACCCGGGUAGUCCUAGCCGUAAACGAUGCGGGCUGAGUGUUUCCUGAACCUCGUGUUCAGGAAGUGCUGAAGGGAAACCGUUAAGUCCGCCGCCUGGGGAGUACGGCCGCAAGACUGAAACUUAAAGGAAUUGGCGGGGGAGCACCACAAGGGGUGGAUGCUGCGGUUCAAUUGGAUACAACGCCGGGCAACUCACCAGGGGCGACGGCAGUAUGAAGGCCAGGCUAAAGGUCUUGCCGGACGAGCCGAGAGGUAGUGCAUGGCCGUCGUCAGCUCGUACCGUGAGGCGUACGGUUAAGUCCGUUAACGAGCGAGACCCCCGCC
rnacentral:rRNA from 1 species